GACGAACGCUGGCGGCGUGCUUAACACAUGCAAGUCGAACGGAAAGGCCCUGCUUUUGUGGGGUGCUCGAGUGGCGAACGGGUGAGUAACACGUGAGUAACCUGCCCUUGACUUUGGGAUAACUUCAGGAAACUGGGGCUAAUACCGGAUAGGAGCUCCUGCUGCAUGGUGGGGGUUGGAAAGUUUCGGCGGUUGGGGAUGGACUCGCGGCUUAUCAGCUUGUUGCUGGGGUAGUGGCUUACCAAGGCUUUGGCGGGUAGCCGGCCUGAGAGGGUGACCGGCAACAUUGGGACUGGGAUUGGGCCCAGACUCCGACGGGAGGGGGCAGUAGGGGUUAGGGCACAAGGGGCGGAAGCCUGAGGCUGAAACGCCGAGGGCGGGAUGACGGCCUUCGGGUUGGAAACCGCUUUCGCCUGUGACGAAGCGUGAGUGACGGGAAUGGGUAAAGAAGCACCGGCUAACUACGUG
rnacentral:rRNA from 1 species